rnacentral:rRNA from 1 species
UACGUAGGGGGCAAGCGUUAAUCGGAAUUACUGGGCGUAAAGCGUGCGCAGGCGGUUCGUUGUGUCGGUGGUGAAAGCCCCGGGCUUAACCUGGGAAUGGCCAUGGAAACUGGCGAACUGGAGUGUGGCAGAGGGGGGUGGAAUUCCGCGUGUAGCAGUGAAAUGCGUAGAGAUGCGGAGGAACACCGAUGGCGAAGGCAGCCCCCUGGGCUAGCACUGACGCUCAGGCACGAAAGCGUGGGGAGCAAACAGG